GGUCAAGCUACUAAGGGCGCACGGUGGAUGCCUUGGCAGAAGUAGGCGAUGAAGGACGUGGCAAGCUGCGAUAAGCCUCGGGGAGCCGCAAAUAGGCUUUGAUCCGGGGAUUUCCGAAUGGGGAAACCCUAUACGGUAAACCCGUAUAACGUCCCAAUGAAUACAUAGUUGGGAACGAGCAAACCCUGGGAAGUGAACCAUCUCAGUACCAGGAGGAAAAGAAAGAAACCUCGAUUCCGAUAGUAGUGGCGAGCGAAAUCGGAACAGCCCAAACCCAGUUCACCUUCGGGUGUAUUGGGGGUUGUAGGGCCCGCACCAGUAGAGUUACCAAUCCAGUUGUUAGCUGAAGACCUUUGGAAAAAGGUCCCAUAGAGCGUGAUAGGCGCGUAAGCGAAAACGAUCUGGACUCGAAGCGGGUACCUGAGUACCGCGGGGCACGUGAAACCCUGCGGGAAUCCACGGAGACCAUUCCGUAAGGCUAAAUACUAACUUCUGACCGAUAGUGAACCAGUACCGUGAGGGAAAGGUGAAAAGAACCCCUGUUAGGGGAGUGAAAUAGUACCUGAAACCGUGUGCCUACAAGCAGUGGGAGGACUAUGGUCGCAAGACAAUGUCUGACCGCGUGCCUAUUGCAUAAUGAGCCGGCUAGUUAUUCUUGUCAGCAAGGUUAAGCGUAAAGCGAGCCGUAGCGAAAGCGAGUCCUAACUGGGCGAAUAAGUUGGCAGGAAUAGACGCGAAGCGGGAUGAUCUACCCUUGGCCAGGUUGAAAGUGGGGUAACACCCACUGGAGGACCGAACCGGUGUUUGUUGAAAAAAGCUCGGAUGAGCUGAGGGUAGGGGUGAAAGGCUAAUCAAAUUCCGUGAUAGCUCGUUCUCUUCGAAAUAGCUUUAGGGCUAGCCUCGUGUGAUUUGCAGUGGUGGUAGAGAACUGAAUGGACUAGGGGGCUUUCCAGCUUACUGAAUCCAAUCAAACUUCGAAUGCCAUGGACAACCAACACGGGAGUCAGACGGCGGGGGCUAAGCUUCGUCGUCGAGAGGGAAACAGCCCAGACCAUCUGCUAAGGUCCCGAAAUUUCAGUUAAGUGGGAAAGGAUGUCGGAACGCCCAGACAGCCAGGAGGUUGGCUUAGAAGCAGCCAUCCUUUAAAGAAAGCGUAAUAGCUCACUGGUCAAGCGGUCCGGUGCCGAUAAUUCAACGGGGCUAAAACUGAAUACCGAAGCAAUGGAUGCAUGACUUAAGUCAUGCGUGGUAGAAGAGCAUUCUCUACAGUUUGAAGCGAGAUCGAAAGGACUCGUGGACGGUAGAGAAGAGACCCUGCCGGCAUAAGUAGCGAUAACGGAGGUGAGAACCCUCCGCGCCGAAAGUCUAAGGUUUCCUGAGGAAGGUUAAUCCGCUCAGGGUUAGUCGGUCCCUAAGGUGAGGCCGAAAGGCGUAACUGAUGGACAUCCGGUUAAUAUUCCGGAACUCCCAAAUAUUCGUUAUUACGAUGGGGUGACGCAGAAGGUUAAGCGCAGCCACCUAUGGCUAUGUGGUUCGAUACGUACAAGUCGGUUUCUGUAGGCAAAUCCGCAGAGACAUUAACGAUGAAACGUAAAGGAGUACCUCGUAUGAGGGAAACGCGCUGACAUCACGCUGCCAAGAAAAACCUCUAAGGAGAAUAUUGGGGAACCGUACCUCAAACCGACACAGGUAGACGAGGAGAAUAUCCAAAGGCGCUCGAGAGAAGGCUCGUUCAGGAACUCGGCAAAUUGACCCCGUAACUUCGGGAGAAGGGGUGCCCCGGUAGAGUGCAAGCUCGAGGGGGCCGCAGUGAAACGCGCACGGCGACUGUUUAACAAAAACACAGGUCUCUGCUAAGUCGAAAACGACGUAUAGGGGCUGACGCCUGCCCGGUGCCGGAAGGUUAAAAGGAGAGGUUAGUCGCAAGACGAAGCUUUGAAUUGAAGCCCCGGUGAACGGCGGCCGUAACUAUAACGGUCCUAAGGUAGCGAAAUUCCUUGUCGGGUAAGUUCCGACCUGCACGAAUGGCGUAACGAUCGUGCGACUGUCUUAACGAGCUACUCGGCGAACUUGUAGCACCGGUGAAGAUGCCGGUUGCCCGCACCUAGACGGAAAGACCCCGUGCACCUUUACUAUACCUUCACUAUGAACUAUGGCACUUGCUGCGCAGGAUAGGUGGGAGGCUUUGAUUCCAGGUUCUCGGACUUGGAGGAGCCAACGGUGAGAUACCACCCUGCGAGUUCUGUGGUUCUAACCUAUUCCCGUCAACCGGGAAAGGGACAUAGUGAGGCGGGUAGUUUGACUGGGGCGGUCGCCUCCUAAAUUGUAACGGAGGCGCGCGAAGCUACACUCAGGCUGUUUGGAAAUCAGCCGUCGAGUGCAAAGGCAUAAGUGUGGUUAACUGCGAGACCUACAAGUCGAGCAGAUGCGAAAGCAGGCCUUAGUGAUCCGGUGGUUCUGUAUGGAAGGGCCAUCGCUCAACGGAUAAAAGGUACGCCGGGGAUAACAGGCUGAUCGCUGCCAAGAGUUCAUAUCGACGCAGCGGUUUGGCACCUCGAUGUCGGCUCAUCGCAUCCUGGAGCUGUAGAAGGUUCCAAGGGUUAGGCUGUUCGCCUAUUAAAGCGGUACGUGAGCUGGGUUCAGAACGUCGCGAGACAGUUCGGUCCCUAUCUGGUGUGGGCGUAGGAGAUUUGAGAGGGCCUGUCCUUAGUACGAGAGGACCGGGAUGGACGAACCUCUUGUGUUCCAGCUGUCUUGCCAAAGGCACGGCUGGGUAGCGAAGUUCGGUUGUGAUAAACGCUGAAUGCAUAUAAGCGUGAAACACUCCUCAAGAUGAGAUCUCCCAACCCUAAGGGUGAAGAAGGGCACAGGAAGACCACCUGUUUGAUAGGCUGGAUGUGUAAAGUCAGUGAUGACAAAGCUUACCAGUACUAAUCGCCCGUUCGGCUUGACCAU
rnacentral:rRNA from 1 species